rnacentral:rRNA from 1 species
GACCAUUGAAAGAGUAAGUCUUGCCUGCCAGUGACUAAUUAACGGCCGCGGUAUUUUGACCGUGCGAGGUAGCGCAAUCACUUGUCUUUUAAUGAGACCUGUAUGAUGGUGUACGAGGCUACUGUCUCUCUUCGAGUCAUGAAUUGAUCUGCCGUGCAGAAGCGGGACAUAAAAAUACAGACGAGAGACCUUUGGAGCUUAAGAUACAGAUCAACUAUGUCAAGAACCAAAAAGUUAAACUAAAUAGCAACUGGAUCCCUAUUCUCGGUUGGGGCGAUCGGGGGAGAGAACAAAGUCCCAGCGGACUGGCCACCCUAGAACCAGAAGAUUUCUAGUACGAUCUGACUUAGAUCGGCACCGAGAGGCCGUACUGGAACGCAUCGUCAGUCAUCACGGGUUACCCAUUGACGAGCAGGCCCUUGGCGUGUCCCGUUAGCAAGAU